GAUGAACGCUGGCGGCGUGCCUAAUACAUGCAAGUCGAGCGAGAGGACGAGUAGCUUGAUUUUCUGAUGUUAGCGGCGGACGGGAGAGUAAUACGUGGAUCACCUACCUAUAAGACUUGGAUAACUUCGGGAAACCGGAGCUAAUACCGGAUAAUAUUUUGAACCGCAUGGUUCAAAAGUGAAAGACGGUUUUGCGGUCACUUAUCGUUGGAUCCGCGCUGCAUUGGCUAGUUGGUAAGGUAACUGCUUACCAAGGCAGCUAUGCAUAGCCGACCUGUUAGGGUGAUCGGCCGCAUGGGAACGGAGACACGGACCAUGGGCCUACGAGAGGCAGCAGAAGGGUAUCGGCCGCAAUGGUGGAAAACCUGACGGAGCAACGCCGCGUCAGUGAUAAAGGCCUUGCGAUCGUAAAAAUCUCUUUUGAGGUAAAAACAUAUGUGUAAGGAACUGUGCACAUCGUGACGGUACCUAAUCAGAAAGCCACGGCUAACUACGUG
rnacentral:rRNA from 1 species